rnacentral:rRNA from 1 species
UACGAAGGGGGCUAGCGUUGCUCGGAAUCACUGGGCGUAAAGGGUGCGUAGGCGGGUCUUUAAGUCAGGGGUGAAAUCCUGGAGCUCAACUCCAGAACUGCCUUUGAUACUGAGGAUCUUGAGUUCGGGAGAGGUGAGUGGAACUGCGAGUGUAGAGGUGAAAUUCGUAGAUAUUCGGAAGAACACCAGUGGCGAAGGCGGCUCACUGGUCCGGUACUGACGCUGAGGUGCGAAAGCGUGGGGAGCAAACAGG